rnacentral:rRNA from 1 species
UACGGAGGGGGCUAGCGUUGUUCGGAAUUACUGGGCGUAAAGCGCACGUAGGCGGCUUUGUAAGUUAGAGGUGAAAGCCCAGGGCUUAACCCUGGAAUUGCCUUUAAGACUGCAUCGCUAGAAUCGUGGAGAGGUAAGUGGAAUUCCGAGUGUAGAGGUGAAAUUCGUAGAUAUUCGGAAGAACACCAGUGGCGAAGGCGGCCAACUGGUCCGGCACUGACGCUGAGGUGCGAAAGCGUGGGGAGCAAACAGG